AGGAAUCGUGAUAUUUCCCCGGCUUUCAUGGAAGAAAAAUAAAAAAUUUCUAAUAACUGUAACCCUUUUGAGUUCUCCACAAAUCAGUUUGAAUAUGAAGCCAAAUAUCAGAUGCAUAUUUACAGGCUUCUUUCAGAGCAACAAAGUUUAAUGCUAUCAGUUGUUUUGGGUUCAAGUGAUCAGAGCUUCAUCCGGCACAAGCACGCCAAACAGAGUAUGAAAAAUUUUGAAACCUACAGUUAAAAAUUCUCAAGUUCCGUAUUUGACCUGUAGUCACAUUCAAGUUUAUACAUGACUACUGAUAUAUGAAAUGGCAUUUUUAUUCAGUUCCAGAAAAGUCGCAUGCAGAGGAUUUAAAUUUCAUAUUAAUGGAAUGGUUUUGAGCUUCAUUAUUAGAUUUUUUUUUUCAAAAUAAUUAAUGGAGUUAACAUUACUUAUUACAGGAAAAGAAAGAAAGAUUAAUUCUCCAUGGGAAAAGCGUUGAAAGAAGCUUCUCAUGAGCGCAAUCAGUCCCUCAGUUGCUUACCAUGGUAUCUUUUCCAUACUUUCACACAUGUUGAUAAAAUUCUUUCUUGGUUAAAUAAUUUGGAGAGAGAGCUGUUCAUUGGCAACACAAGCAACAAAAUAUCACACACAAAUUAAUUCCAACAAAAAUAAUAUUUUUACACGAGAGACUUGUGUGAGAGAAGAGGGUUAAUUAGAUGAUUACUAUUGAGAUCACAAGUUAGAGCGAAAUGAACACAGGCAAUUGAACAAGCUGUGACAGAGUCUGUGAUACAACUCUGCAACUCAGAGUUUAUAUCCUAGAUUUACACUUUUCGAGUAAGUGCUGACUCCAGCAAAAAGAAGCAAAAGAAUUGAAAUUAAUGGAGAAACAGAGAUAGCAGGAGAGACGGAGAGAGAGAAGAAGAAAUAUUUGCCAUUUUCUUGCUUUCUAUGACGUGUUCCCCUCUACAUAUAUCUUUUAACCCCUCAACAUUACACGUGUAACUAACCAACAAAUGAAUGAUUCAAAGAAAAAACAGUCACAACAAAAUAACAAAAUCACAGCUGCCAUCUUUUCCACUCUCUUUGUGCCUUCUCGAAUAUUCCUUAGGUAAUGUAAUCUUUGAGGUAUGUUGGUGCCCUGCGCAUACGAGCUGGACCUUUUGUGUGCUCCUCAACCAGCUGGGCUUCUUUCUCUGUUUCCCAUGCUGACUUGUCAUUAAUCUCGGGCAAGGUUGUAUCAGUCUGUCCAGCUGAAGAAAUUGAAAACUCUUUGGCAUUUGUCUGCAAGCUUUAAAGCCGUCCGAAAACCAUUGUGCUUCUGCUUGAUAGCCAGCAACAAAAACAAGAAGAAGAACCCAGUACAGUUGCAGUUUCUAGUUUUUCAUGCUUGCCAUCUUUUCGUUCUUGAGAUUGAAAUGAUUUAAGAUUUAUUUAAAGGGUCUUUAUCUUAGUAUGCAAUUAAUGGUUUGAAAACAGAUUAUAUGCUAUUACAAGUGAAUUUUCCUGAUAACGAUUGCUUGACUAGGAUUCUUGUCGUAGUAUAAAUUAUUAAACAUGAUUUUAUAAUUAAUGAUUCGUACAUUAAGUGAAAUAGAAACCAGGAUUUGAAAACUACUUUGUUGGUAAAAUCGCUUGAAGCAACAGCCUAAAAUUAUCAGAUGGUGAGAAAACAGGAGAUGAUCUACCAAGAGAGUAAUGAAGUUUUCUAAAGUCCAACUGAAAUGAUUUCAGGAUUCGCUUCAACAAUGCAAAAAUAUAUUUGAUAUUUCAAAUCUAUGAAAUUCAUUUUCUUUAUCGUUAUCUUGGACGUAUCACAUGUCAAAAUGCAUUAAUUACCGAUGCUAGCACUUGAAAUAAAAAAAAUCAAAUGGUAAGUAUUUUUAUAUUACAUACUUGAUUGUACCCCAAACCCAAUUUGUAAGACAUGAAGAAGAAAUCUCUUUUAUAGAGUUAUUUCCAAAAUGGCAGAAUCUACCAUCUUGAACCAAAGUAUAUCAUUAGAACAAGGAGGAGGAUUAAGGACAUUCUAUUUCGAGAGCUACCUGAUAGGGUACUUCAUUCUUGACAGAGUACUGGCCUUCGUUGUCAUAUUGCCACCGAAUCUGAACUUCUUUGAGGAAAUGAAUGCUUUGGUGGAAGAAGACCUUGAGCAAGAAAGAGACCAACAUGAAAUAGAGAUGAAGAAAAUCUCUAAUUAUGCAAAUAUGGUCUGAUUGGCUUGUGAGAUAACUAACCAAACUAAUCACUACUUUCAAUCUCAAUUAAAUUCCAACAAACAAUCUAUUUGCUAUACGAACUUAGGUGGUGAUCAACCAAAUAAAGUUGCCUGAAAACUGCUCCGACGAAACUCUGGGGAUAUAGUACAUUGUUUGUUGAUAUUGAAUGGGUAAACAGAAUAUUAGAAGCCCUUGCUGAAAUUUGACGGAGAUUGAAAGUAGUGAUUAAUUUGGUUCGUUAAAACUUACAAGCCCACAAGACCAAUUUGAUUAGUUAGAGAUCUUCUUCCACCAAGCAUCCACUUCCCCACAGGAUUUCAUGGCAGCUAAUUGUAUGCGGAUCGAUCUUCAAUUUGCCGUCUCAGAGUAUGAAACAUGAUCCAACAUUAUCACAGCCUAGCACUAUCUAAGUAGGUUUCUCUUUUAACCUUGCACGUUAUAAAGAUUGAGUAUAUAUAAAUAAAAUUGUACUUCGAAAAUUGGCUCUUGCCCUCAAUACGUGUUAAUCCAUGAGUUAGUUGGCUUUGUCCUGUUCAGUAUCGCUGCCUAGUAGGUGUGGCUUUUAAGCAACAACUUCGGUUUAUGACUUUGUAUUUGAUGAAAAAAAAAAUUUACUCUCACCUUUUUUUUUUCCUCCAAAUUAUUAUUUUUAAAGCUUUAAAAAUCAUAUUUAUCAAUUACUUUCAACUUUUAUUUCAUUGCAAUUGUAACUUAAUUUUAAGCCACAACACUAAAUAAAUCCUCCGCAAUUAAUGGUCUCUUUAACCUUGAAAUAUAUUUUUUUUUUAUAUAAUCACGAGGUAUCUUGGGGGGCCCAACUGUGGGAGGCACCUUUAAGCCCGUAUCACAACUCAGACUAGAAGUCUCCGCUCGAACCGGGAGGCACGGGUUCUCCCAACAAAGACGACUUCCCUGCGACUCGAACUGGGGAGCAAACCAAGUCAAGCCACUUAAGGGGACUCCAUUGCCAAUGGAGCCAACACUUUAUUGGUUAACCUUGAAAUAUUAAUAACAAAACUACUCACCGUCUGUCACCAUGAGCCACCACGAACCACCAUCGGCAUUCAUAUUUAGGUAUCUUCUGUCAUUAAUUUUAUACAUUAGAAUCUUCAAACUUUUGAUAAUGUAGCAAAAAAUGCAUAAACAUUGUAAUUAGUGUUAUGCAAUGCAUUUCAUUUCAAUUGCCUAUGUGGCAAACAUACUUUUUAGGUGUUGAAAUUGGGCAAAAGUUACACUAUAAAAAUAUUUGAUAAACACUUGAUACUAUAAUUUAAAAAAUAAGUUGAGAUUUGUUUAAAAUAAAAAAAUAAAAAACAGCAGUUAGACUUGAGUUUAACUUGAGAUUGAUUGAUAUAUAUAUAUAUAUAUAUAUAUAGCAAUGCUUUUAAGUUUUCUGAGUUUAAUUCAAAAUCUACCUCAAUUGACUUCAAUUAAAGUCAUGUGCAUCUGUUGGGCAUGGUUGAACUGGAGAACAGAAGGGAGUGAAAAAUUUUACGGGCACAUGUGUGAAAUUUUGCUUACGUACUUGAUCAACAUGUUUUGGUUUCCUUCUUAUUAUUAUUAUUAUUUUUAUUUUUGGCAAUCCUCAGUAACUAUGAAAUGAAAGUUGGUUGUAAUUAUGAAAUGAAAAGAAAAUAUCAAAUUAUAAUCGAUAGUUAAAACACAAAAAGUUACCUUUGCACUCUGAUGUAGUCUGGCAGAUAAUGAAGCAGGGAGAAAGAUUCUGAUCAUUUUCCCUCUAAACAAGCAUGAAAGUCCCAGUUCUGUAAGAUGUAUCAUUGGUAAUUUUCAAUUAUAAGCUAAUAUAUGAUAUUUUUUGGGUGGACAAAAUUAUUCAGGCCCUUAAAAUGACUUAUAAAUUAUAUUGAAAUUAAAUUUAAAAAUAAUUAAAAAAAUUUAAAGUUGGAACCCAAAAGAAGAAGAGGAACGAUUUACUCAUGACAAAAGAUAAAUAAAGGGUUGUCACCCAAACAAGAGGAUCGCACAUUCUUAGGGGAAAAUAUUUGGAGGAUUCACCAAAGAUGGUACCUGGGUUGUCAGCAUAACGAUUUGGGUGGCGAGAGGCAAAGAAAACAGAGGAUGUAGGUGAUUUAAUUAGACAAAUAAUUAGGAUACAUCGAACAGAGGAGAAGACAAUCGCAAAUUCGUUGGAGCAGUUGAUUUCGAUGAUUUGUUUAACGAAUCGGAUGGCGCUUUUGUAAAUGUAGUUGCGAACUGCAACCCACUAUUUGGGUGUUGAAAGUGUAGGAAUUCCUCAUGGCCGAAAGUAGAGGGAAUAGCGCCUGUUUUUUUUUUUUUUUUUUUUUUUUUUUUUUUUUUUUAAAAAAAUUUAAAGUUGGAACCCAAAAGAAGAAGAGGAACGAUUUACUCAUGACAAAAGAUAAAUAAAGGGUUGUCACCCAAACAAGAGGAUCGCACAUUCUUAGGGGAAAAUAUUUGGAGGAUUCACCAAAGAUGGUACCUGGGUUGUCAGCAUAACGAUUUGGGUGGCGAGAGGCAAAGAAAACAGAGGAUGUAGGUGAUUUAAUUAGACAAAUAAUUAGGAUACAUCGAACAGAGGAGAAGACAAUCGCAAAUUCGUUGGAGCAGUUGAUUUCGAUGAUUUGUUUAACGAAUCGGAUGGCGCUUUUGUAAAUGUAGUUGCGAACUGCAACCCACUAUUUGGGUGUUGAAAGUGUAGGAAUUCCUCAUGGCCGAAAGUAGAGGGAAUAGCGCCUUUUUUUUUUUUUUUUUUUUUUUUUUGAAUUCUGAUAUACAAGACUGUAGGUACUACAAUUAAUAUUUACAAACAGAUUCUAUAAUUGAGACCUUCUUCGUGGCAUGUACUCCUCUGAAGCGUUGCCCAAAUUUUUCAAACUCUCUCAAAUAUUCGAGGGUUGUCCACUCCACUCACAUUUCGUGAGGGAUAGACUGACUUCACUCAAUUAUUUGAUAAUUGAGAGAAGAUUAUAAAUAAGUCCCAUAAAUUUUUUUUUUUUUUAAUAGCGCGUCUGUUUGAUUUACUAUAUGCAGUACGAACCGGAUGAAGAAGGUAAUUCGUGGGAAAAAAAUAAUGGUUACUUGUGGUUGAAAUUUGAUGAAACUAUAGAUGGUUAUAUUUAUUCGAAGGUAUUAACUAACAUAUAAUAAUUUAUUGUUUGAACUCUUGACUCUUGCAUAAGAAAAUCAAUUGGUAGAGAAAAUUGUUCAUUGCCAAUUUAGUAAAAUAUUUGUUGGUCCCUUGAAAGGUAUAAGAAAUUUUUGGAGUAAAAAAUAUUUAAACAGAGUUGACAAUAUGGAGUUUAUGGAAAGAGCUUUUAAACAAAUCUCACCAUGUAAUUUUAAAUAAGGUUAAAAUCGUAAAUAUGAGAGGGGUUUUUAGAUGACUUUAGAGGGGUGCCAACAGCGCCACUUAAAUGCAAAGCCACUCUUACUUUACUCGUCUCUUAACGACCUAGGGUUCUUCUUCCACUCUCCAUUCUUUUGCUUGCCGACCUGAAAAUCCCUUCUCUUGUAUUCAAAUCUCAAAAAGUGCCAUUUUCGUCAUCGAAAAUAAGCAGAUCUACACCCUGUGUUGUAUGGUUGCAGUCCGUGUGAAGCCAUUGACGUCGAUGGAUGAUGCGGGGUUCUAACUGUCACUUUGAAAACAGUUAUGCCUAUUCUUCCUUGUACUGUAGAAGGCUCCUGUGACCUCAAAGACGUCACCAUGGAAUGGAAGCAUGCUGAAGGCUUAUCCGAUGGUUGGCAUAGAAGGUGGCAAGUUACUUGUAAUAGGCAAGCUGCAGAAGAAAGAUGACGUUUUCAAGGUCGCAGGAGCUUUCUACGGUUGGGGAAAUUUUUCCAUGCUGAAAAAAUAGACCUGUUGAAUCCAUUCGUACUUCAGCUUGAAAUCCCCCGCUACCCCCCCCCCCCCCCCCCAACAAAAAAAAAGAACAAGGCUGCGGUGAGUCCAGUCUUUUUGUGUAUAUAGACUUUGCAACAAGAUUAGCUUUAUUUUCCCUUUUGUUCUUGAAUCAAUACAAAACUUCAAUUUUGCAGGGUACUUUGGUGCAGCAUAUGUAGAUAUGUAUGUGUUGCUACUCAGGCUUUCUGCAAUAUUUGUAUAAUUUUUUAUAUAUCAUUUAUUAGGAAAGUAUCCCAACUGCAACAGCAGAGAAGGUGAAAACAGGUAUGCUCGAGGACUUCGCCUGCCAGAAGGUUCACUUCAGAAGCCCCUUAUACUCAAGUCCAAUUAUUGUAAGAUUCCACUGUUUGGGCAUUAUCUUGUGAUUUCAUAUUUAUCGUGUCCUGUUUGAAUCCCUGUGACCUACUUGGGCUGUGACUAUUUUCUGUUGCUGUAGCUUUAGAAUGAGUGGUUGACUUGGACAGCCUUAUCAAGUUAUUGUGUGCACUUGUGUGUAAGUCCCUAGUUCUACUUUCUUCUGAUACUCGUUUUUCAGACGAGAUGGAUCGUGUGAUUUCAAUUUAUUAAAUAUUUAAAACAACUUGAGGAUUUCAUAAUUGAGAAAAUUCUGGGUCCCUUUAUGUUGAUUUAGGUAUUUAUCUUUUUUUGUUUGGGAUGUAUAGGGGUGCAGCUCUUCCAACUAGUAUUCCAAGUAUUCAAUGUAUAUCUUUGAUCCCCGAGGAAGGGCUGGUAUAUGUGGUGAUUGGCUGCUGGGUUCAAGUUUAGAGUUAGCUGCCUUAAGUGGCAUGGCUCUUGCUGAUCAUGUAAGCAAGAGUAUGAGUUUCUUUUUCCAAUUUGGUUUUGUUUUGCACAUACAAAUGUAUAUUUCAUUAUUGAUAAUUAGUAUCAAAUUUAAAAAAAAAAAAAAAAAAAAAAGCAACACCACCUUUAUAUCCCUAUAUAUGGACAUUUAAAUAUAAAUUAGUGUAUUGGCUUAAAUGCAGUUCGAAAUAUAAGACAAGUUUCAAACAUAAGAUUAAAGCUUGACUAUUCAUAUAUAAAUAAUGUAAUUGUUCGAUGUAGAUUGCAGAUUAUUUAGGAAGUGGUGGAGUUGGACCUCAGGUGUUUGCUGUCAUUUUCCACAAUGAGUUUCUGGGUUUAGAGUCCAUGGAUAAAGAAAAAGUUCAAGCUAUCAACUUACCAUUUGAAUGCAAGCAGGCCAUGAAAAUUUCUAGAGCUGUCAAGAUAUGCUUCUAUCAACGCAUUGUUUAUGGAUUUAUUUCACUUGGGUUAUUCCCAUAUAUUAAUUGUCUUGCUUUUAUUACUGGGAUAAUUUGAUUGCAGUCAUCGAUGAGAGUAAUGCUUAUUUAUUGGUAAUUGAAAUAUUUUGCGAUCAACAGUGUCGCAUGUGUUCAUCAUUAUAUGUCUACACACACACACACACGCACAAAAUAUUUAUAUAUAUGUUUAUAUACCAUGACAAGGGCUUUGUGCGUUAUCAUUCAUUGCUUGUAGCCAUUGUGACACUUGAGUGUAUAUGCAACUUAGGCCAUAGCAAUCCUUUUUGGAAUGAAAUUUUGAUUUGAUUAUUGCCAUUUUUGUGAUUGAGUUAUUGUGACUUUUGGUUCAAAUAUCAUAGUUUUUAUGCUUUCAAAAUUAUCCUGCCACCAAAAUAGGACUCAACUUGAGUUAUUCAAACUUGUGAAACUUGAAUUUUGUGUUUCUAAGUUUUUGAAUUUUGUGUAUCUGAGUUGAGUGCUGAGUUGGUCAGCCACAUCCAUGCAAUGAUUCGUUGUAUUUAUUUUGUUUAUUUUAAUAUGCUUUGCUUUAUCGAGGGAAUCAUGGCUUGGGAGGAAGAACGGAAACCAGAAUGAUAGGUCCUCAACCACUGAUAUUUGAUCAUGCUGCUCAAUUCUUUACCGUGAAUGAUUCUUGGUUUGGUGAGUUGGUUGAUGGUUGGUUGGAGAGAGGUCUGGUGCAUCUGUGGAGAGCUUGAAGUGGGUGGUCAAUUCACCCCAUUUCCUUCUUCACUUCCAAGAUACAUUGGUAUUAAUGGGAGCGCCUUCUUGCCGACUCUUGAUUGGCCCAGGUGACAAAUCUACGUUUGCUUUUGUGUUAAUCCUUUUGUUGAUUCUUUUAUGCUUCUUUGCAUAAACAAUGGGGGAAUAUUGUUUAAUUAAAUCACAAUGGUAAGCAACUACUAUAUUUUUUUGAAGUUUGCUGGUAGGUAGGGUUGCAACUUGGCUUGAUCCUCCCAAGUGCAGUUCUAUGCUAAUGAUUCAAAGUCCCAAAAUCAUCACAGUUUUGAGGUUUAAUUGCACAAGGAAGAUCAGAAGCGAAUUUUACAUUGUCAUGUGAUUUCAAUUGCAUAGGCUGCAUGGGUGACAUAAUGAAAUACUGGCUAUAAAGAUUGUAACUGAGUAAAAGAAAACUGGCACAAACAUUUUGCACCACUGUAUUAUUAAUACAAUUCCUGCGAAAUAACAAGCUUCUAUAUGCAGCAUUAAUAGUGAAUGGAGUUAGGUGUAAACAACAUCUUAUCAAGGCAUUAGAUUAUGUAAAUCAAGUUCCUUUGUCCUUCAGCUAUGUUGUUUAUAGUCUAACUCUGUUUUGAUAUGCUUGUUGCAGACUUCUUCAGGUUAAUGUAAUGAGACCUUGGUGGAUAAGUAAUCUUGAUCCAUUUAAUGGGAUGUGGCACCGGAAAACCAUCUGUUUAAAUUUAAUAACCAGAGUGGUUUUAUAGAUCUGCUUUUUAUUUUUUUUUUUCCUUUCAGUUUCUUGUCAGAUUGUAAGACAAUUUAAGGUGUAUAUACUUUGAAAUAUUCAGUUUAUUUAAUAUUUUCUAGCCUUUGCAUUAUUGAGAGUCAGACCAUCUUUUAGUUGUUUUGAAGAUUUAUGAUGCAUUUUGUGGGUUCUUAAGAGGCUAUACUUAAGCUCAAUAUGGGCUCUUCUUUCUUCAUUUGAGGAUCCCCUUCCGCUAGACAGUGCCGCGACAUUGGAAGGAGCCUGUGUUAAGGAGUUGAUUGUGUUUCAUGGAUGGCGAUAACUCAGCAAGGCUUUCAAGUUCUCAGAGUGAUGGCCCUCGUUGUUUGACACCCCCACUUUAAUCCAAGCUAAAAUAAACCUUAUUUCUCCCCACUCCUCGUUAAACUCCUUACUGGUGGUGUCUUCAUUUUCAAUACCCAUACUUGUAUGGCUAAACCUAACAGACAAAAUCAUUAGUGGUGGUGAGCAAAGACUAGGAUGCCUUCGGCAACUGGUCACUGCUAAUAACAAUAAUCUUGAUUCAAAGAAUGGCGGAUCCUUAGCCCGUCUGUCCGCAAUGCGUCAAGGGUUAUUGGCUGGUAAAAAUCACUUUGAUGAUGUGCUUACUUCCCCAUUUUUUUAAAACGAUUAAUUUCAAAUAUUUCCAUUGAUUUUAGACCACAAGAAAACCAACCAUAGAAUCUUCAAAAUGGCUUUCUACGCAAAUGCUGCUCGGAUUACAGUUUCGUUGGGAUAAAGUUUUGAGUUUCUUAUCAUUCUUCAAAGGCUCUGAUAUGUGGGAGUAAAGAACUUUAGAAACAAAUUAUGUGUAAUUAAAUUCAAAUCUGGUCAAGAAUUAUGGGAAUAGCAAUCUAUUUACACGAGUUUAGUUGGGAUUAGAAAUAAAGAAAAUUUUGUGACGUUUCCGCCGUAAGAGACCGUUGGAUUGGCAGAUUUUGACCAUGGGGGGCCGAGAUUGUGCCACGUCUCCACGCGCACCAUAUACCUUACUAUAUGGUUUUACACACCCAACCAUUCUUGUCUUAUUAGGGAGCAAUCUUGACCGUCGGAUCGUGCAUCAACGGUUCUUGAAGGCGUGCUCACCAUGCUUAUUGUUGAGAUGGUGACAUUAACCAUUUCUCACCCCCAUCUAUCGUAGAUCACGGGUUUUUUAUUUAAAUAUACCCCAUUUGUCCUUAAAUGCCAAAUCUAUACCCCAUUACAUACAUAUACCUCUUAAAAGUAUAAAAAGUCAAAAAUAACCUAAAAAAAUCAUCUAUUUACGUUUACUUCCUCUCUCAUGACUUCUACAUAAUAACACAACCAAAGUCGAGUAUACUCGACUUUUUACCUGACUUAAUUAAAAGGAAAAUUUUCAUUUCAAUUUAAGUCGAGUAUUCUCAACCAAUUACCGAACUUCAAUGAAAAGUCAAGAAUUUUUGCUGAAUGAAUAUUGGGUAAGGUUAAAUUAAAGUUGGGUAUUCUCGACUCUUUACUCUACUUACUUGAAAAAAUCAAGAAUUUUUCAGAUAAUUUUUUAUUUCAAUUGAAGUCGAGUAUUCUCGACUAUUUACCCGAUUAAUAUGAAAAAGUCAAGAAUUUAUACUGAAUUACUAAUUGUGUAUAGUUUGGUUGAAGUCGAGUAUUUUCGAUCAUUUACCCGACUUUGAGGAGUUGGGUUUAGUUUUAUGAGGAUUUAGUUGUGGUUAUUUUUGUAUUUUCUCUAGUUUUUUAGAGUAUAUAUAUGUAAAAUUUAAGAGUGUUAUAAUUUUAGGUAUAUAUUGGGUAUUUUGAAGGGAAUGGGGUACAUCCCACACAAUUCUCCCGUCUUGAAGACAUAAAUCAAAAUGCACUCUGUGUUCUGGGAAGAAGACGAGAACACUGUUCUCUUCAAGUUGCCUCUUGCCUCAGGGACGAAGCAAGAGGGUGUAAAGGUCACGAUAGAAGAUCAGAAGCUGUUCGUCUCAGAGGAAGCAGGCAGCUCUAUCAAUCAAUACUUUGGUAUGUAUGUCACUUUGCCUGAAGGUCUCAACCCGGAUGGCUUCGAGACCUCAGUGGAUCAGACGGGGCUCCUUACUGUCCGUUUCAAAAAACGUAUGCUUUCAUGUAGUACCGUAAAAAGCUCCUGCGACAUGGCUCCCAUGGGCUGGUUUGAGCCUGAUGAUAAAAACGGAGUUAUCCACUUCAAAGUGGGUCUUUCAGCAGAAACGAAGAAAGAAGAUCUCGUCGUCGGCGUCGUAGAUCGACAAUUUCUUAUAAUAGGCCAGCAGCGGAACGAGAAAAAGGAAGGAGGCUCCUGCGCGAGCUUCGUAGUGCCGCAUGGUGUGAACCCGGAAGGGUUUGAGACCUCCAUGGACGAACCGGGGGUCUUGACGGUCACGUUCAAGAAGAAGCCAUCGAAGGAUGGCAAGAAAAAGAAUAAAAAGAAAUUCAAAUCAAGGUUGCUCGGAGGUUUGGCUGAAGCGUGUCUCCUGACAUCUUGCAAGUGCGCUUGUGAUGAGCUUACUGGCGACGACUCCUAACUAAUAAUUAAGCUGGUGUUUGGAAUAUGGUAUUUCCUAUAUCAUGUUCUCCUUGUUGGUCGUUUUUUUAUGAGUGUUUUUUCUGUUUGAAAGAAAUAAACUCUGGACUAGUACUGGAGAACUCCAGAGCACAUGUUCCAAUUUACUCUUCUUCCUUUGGUUUGUCUGGGAGUUUUGUGUGUAAUAAUAUUAAUCAUUAAAAUAAGAGCUUUGUCUAUUUCCUUCUUCUUCUUCUUCUUCUUCUUAUUAUUAUUAUUAUUUCUUUUUCUAAGAACCAGUAAUUUCAGUUGUGUUAAAUGAUAUUGUGUGCGUUAAUUUUUUUUUUUCCUUUCUCCAAUUUUAAGGAUGGACUUUGAUUACCUAUAUAAUGACAAUCACAUGGGUAAACCAAGCAAACUAGAGUAGUUCAUCUAAUACAACUUUGUAUUUGUUUAAUGUGAACUCCGUGAUUGAUGCAACUUACAUCACUAUUAUAACGAAUCUCUUAUCUUUAAGAAUAAGUAACAGAGUAUUGGACAGCUGCGCUUAAAUCUUAAUUGAGUCAGAGUCCCCUAAGGUACUCAAUACUCCACUCACAUGAAGGUAUAGGUGGGGGUACAUUCAAUAACACUACAUAGGGUUUUUUUCAAUUGUUAGCGUAAAUUUGUUUGAUUAUGCUAUUCAGUUUUUGAUAAUCACUAUUUCAAAAUAUAAAUGUGCAAUUUGGUCAUUAGGAUACAAAUCAUAGCAAUUUUGAUAUUGUUUGUUAGGUGGAAAAAAGUUGUAGGGUAAUUACAUACACUUAGUAUAUUAUUAUUGCUAUUUGAAUGCCAUUGCUACAUUAACUGCAAUGACAUUUGGUUUGUGGCAUACUGAAUAAAAUUUCCUUUGAGCCUACAGGAACAGGACUGUCCUUGUAACCGUCCUAGUUCCUUAAUGGAUGUAUCUUUUAAGUCUUGCAUUUGGCAUAUGAAGUUUAUUGAAAGAAAGCAAAUGAUCAGGAGCUGGUCUUAAAAGCAUGUUCUUCGAGGAAUACAAUACAAACAGUAAUAGGUUUUGAGACAAUUCAUAGAGCUUUCCUUGAGUGAAAAAUAGUCACAUUACUAUUUAAACUGACACGACAUGCUCUUCUAGUUUAUUCAAAGAAUUAUGAGAAUAACCUCAGGUAUGUUAAUUGAAAAAUGCCCAAACUGGACAAGUCAUAUUCAUACCAUGUAACCCAGGUUCGUUAAUUUUAAAUUCCAAUUUAGUGUUCUGAUCUAUCUUCAUCUAUUUUAGCAUGUGUUUCAUAAUUCAUGCUUUAUUCUUCUUCUACUUUUUUUGUCCCCCUUCUUAGCUUCCAUUGGAUUAUUGAUGUGGUGAAAAAGGAAAUGUUCUAUUUGGAUCCCGAAAGGGCAAUCCUUAUCCGAAUUUAGACCAGAUCCUUAAAGCAUAUGUUUCCUUUCCAUUCGAUACCAUUCAUAUUUUAGGUUUCUUCAAUGUAUUUUAGAGAUACUCUUGUAGUUUUUCAUACAACGCCAUGAAACUGUUCACAAUAUAUAUCUAAGAUGAGAUUUGUGGAGGUUAAAUAAAUUACCUUACCUGAAUGCAGUGUGGCUACUACUUUUACUAACACAAAUGUAAUUUGUAAUUAACUUUUUGGUUUUUAACCGUGAAUAGACCCUGCAACAACCAGACCAUAUGGAGUGAGGCUAUUAUGUCAUGAGGUACAUGAAGAAUAUAAUAGCAUACAUUGAUUUGCUAAAGAACAAUGUGUGUUACUGAUGAAUAAUAUCAAUAGGUUUGGUUUGUAGCAUAUAUAUGUGGCGUUGAUUUGGAAGUUCAACAACAAUGAUUUUGUGGUUAACAGCUCAAUGCAAAGGACACCACACUCUAGCUGAAAUCAACAAACGACAUGCGUUUGGAGUGGGCUAACCUUUUUUCUAAAAUCCUUGUUGCAUCGUCAUACUAUAAAUGUGAAAUUAUAGUGCAGGGUGAUAGGGAGGGAACUCACAGAUGUACACAUGGAUAAGAAGUCAAAUGGAGUUGUACCGAAUUCAAAUGAUGCAUCUUGUGAUAAAGUUCAUGUGGCUCCAAAAAUCUCAGAAGACAAUGUUGAUCUAAAGGACUACAAGGUGAAAGAAUGCACUGAAGAAAUCUCGUUCAAAAAUUGUAAUGAGAAACAAGAAGAACUUGAUGUGGAAUGUAAAAAUUUUGAUGUUGAUGUAACUGAUGACACAAAUGACUAGCCGGAACUGCAAAAGUCAAACUCUCCAUCUAAAUCUCGUGGUCCUGCUAAUGUGCGUACAAGUCUCACUGUCCUACAGCCCUUUGCUCUGGCAACUGAAAAACGUGCUUCAGGCACAACUAGACAUGGUGGGGCUGAAACUGCAGCUGAUAGCAAUAAUGCGCAGUCCCCUAUGCCAAAGAAGACUUCACAGGUAACUUAAAUCCUCAAUUGGAUAAAUUGUGAAUGCUGCUAUUCUUUAUUAUUAAGUUGAAGGAUCAAUGAACUUAACGAGAAACUUGACAUUAACUACAGCCAAUAUAAUUGGUGGUCUGAAGAGGCAAAAGAAUUCCAACUAUUUGUAAGGAGUCAAGCAACUUUACCUAGCAAAUAGAUAACAAAUUCAACCAAUGGAGUUUGUACCUUAUAAAGUUGCCUAAAACUAGUUUUUCUUGCAUUAAAUAGUAGGUUUCCUUAGAUCUGUUCAAGAAAAAAUUUUAAAAAAAUCUUAAUCACUUAACUAUAUUUUCAUUUGAUUUUCGUGUUAGGAAUCUUUUCCCACUAUAUGCCUUCUUGAUUCAGUCUUAAUGCUUGAUUUAAUUGGAACUGCUCUACAUCAUAGCCUUUGUUUUGUUUUGCUUCCCUGGUGCAGCAUGGGGAAAUCCAUAGCUCAUAGAUCUGUAAUCUUGUUAUCCUAUUUGCUUUAACUUCAAAAAGAAUAUCUAGCUAACUGAAUAAGCAAUUUGUAUGGUGCGUGAAGUCUGAUGGGAAUUCAAAAUCAUCUUGAUCUUGUUUGCAAUGAUCAAUGUUGCACAAAUUAUGGAUUUUAAGUUGUUGCUAGUCUUUGAUAUUCUGCAAUUUCUUUUGGAAACUCACCCCUGAAUCACAGAAGCUAUUGCAACUUGAUAACAAGAAGCUUUUUGAUGAAUUCGAACCCUUUGUUUCUUAUUUUAGUGUGCUUUUAACUAUAUGCUUUUAACUAUUGUUGGCUUUGAUAUACAUAGAAUGGCAGCAUCUAUACACAAGGUAAUUGUUGGAAUGGCUCCAAAAUUUGGAUGUUCUGAACGUGCUAGGAAACAGGAGGAGGUAUUUUUCAUUUAUCAAAUAAUUAAAUAUAAAAUUUAUUUUCAAAUGUGUUAUCUAAAUAAUGUUUUUGUAUCUUCUUGUCAUUUCCAUCUUCUAGUUUUGUACUAAAUUAGAGCAAAAACACAAAGCUUUGGAGGAAGAGACAAGCAACUUUGAAGGUGCAUUUUCUUAAGUAUCUCUGAUGUACUGUGUCUGCAAUCGUCGUUUUAUCUUAUUGCAGACAUCUGAAGAUCUUUGUGAAAUAGUAAUGUUUGAGUUGAUGUUCUGAUGCCAUUUUUAGUUCUUACAAUAAUGAGUUGAUGUCCUUAUCUGUGUGAAUAUUUUUUUAGUUCUUACGAUAAUGCUAUUUGAUUUCUGAUAAUUAGUGAGUGGGUACGGAAAGCGAAUUAAGGUUCAUAAAUACAUAUAUGUUUACUUUCACGCACUUUUUGACCAAUUGCUGAGAGCACUAGCAUGGUAGAAUAGAUUCACACUUCAGCUUGAAAUCCCAAGCUGUUGAAACAGGCCGCAAUGAGGUCAGUUUUAUGUGCACUUUUUGUCUUGGAAAUAAUAUUAGCUUGAUUUUCCGCCUUAUAUUUUGAAUCAAUAUGAUAUUUCAAUUUUACAGUAUAGAUUUAUAUUGCAGUUUAGCUUCAGCAAGAGUGGCCGAUUUGAAUAGUCUGGUUAUGCUCAUCUGAAAAACGAAAUGGAACAUGUGAUUCCAAUUUCUUAAAUAUUUGAAAUAAUUUGAGAGUUUCAUUAAAGUUUUCUAAACAAUCAUGAUUAGCCUAGAAAUUUAUGAAAACUGCGUUCCUUUGCAAUGACUUAGUUUGAUUUGUCUUUUUUGGGAUUGUGUUUUCGGGUGCAGAGGCGGCUCUUCCGACUAAUACUCUGAGUAUGCCGUGUAUCUUUAUCCCCAUGGAAGGGAAGGUAUAUUUGGCAAUUGGCUGUGGGUUCAAGUUUAGAGCCGGCGAGUCAGCAGCCUUAACUGGCAUGGCUCUUGCUGAUCAUGUAAGAAAAUUAUAUGAUUUUCAUUAGCUCAUUGGCUUUACUUAUAUAGCUUCUAAUAAGUCUGGGACUUGACAUUCAUUUUUCACUGUGCUACAGUGUUAUAAACCUGGUUUACAACAUUGUAAAAGUUUGUUUACAGUUUUGUAAACACGUCCGGAACUCUAAGACAAUCCAAAAUUCUUGGAUUAGUGUGUGUAUGUAUGUGUGUAUAUAUAUAUAUAUAAUGAGAUCUGAUCAGGUAGGAGAUCUCGCUAUCCAAGAUCCAACAUGAUCAGCCUCAUCUUGAAGAGAGCUGUGCAGCUUUUUGCUUCCUACUGCACGGCUCUCACUCACACGCUUUUGGAGAGCGAGAUAUAUCGCCCACCUGAUCAAAGUCCUAUAGCUCUGCGUGUGUGUGUGUGCGAUGAUCAACAAUUAGUAUCAUGUAAAGUGAUCUAUAACACAGCAUUUAUAUUCCUAUAUGGGGGCAUUUAAACAUGAACUUUUAUACUUGGCAUCAAUUUAGUUUGAGAUAUCAGGGAAGGAAUUUCAAAAAUAAGCUGGAAGCUUGAUUAUUCAUAUAUAAAUAAUGUGAUCUACAUCGAUUGCAGAUUAUUUAGGAAGUGGUGGAGUUCGUACUAAGCAGUUAACAUGGACUAAAUUGUUGUUUCGUCUGACAUAUUGUUAGCUCAAGCAAUAGUAAUGAACUUGAGAGUGGCAGUUUUUGAAAUCUUUUGUACAUGUAUACGAGUUGUAUCAAGAUUCUGUGGACAUUCUUUCUUCUAAUUUUGAUCUAUGCAUCACAAUUUUAUGAUCCUUGUAUCUUAAAUCAAACUUUGUUGCUGCAGGUUCAAUAUUCUGGACUUCUUUUAUUGGGAGGCUACCCUUCUGAGUAUCUGCUUUCAAUUGUCACUUGCAGCUUCUAAUAGUUUGCAAACCAAAUAUGGUUUUACAUGUUCAUGCACUUGCAGUGUAAUUUGUUUAAUAUGUUUGGCUAAUACAAAUUUCAAAGACAAAAAACAAAACAAGUGAAACAACUAUUUAUCCCAAAUGUAUAUUAUAUAUAUUCGACAGCAUUGAACUGUUUUUUUUCCCCCUUCAAUUGUUACAAUUUUCACAUAUUAUAAUCUAAAAUCUAUUCGGUAUCUAGGUACAUACAUUUAGUAGUAUAAUCAAAAGGUCUGUGGGUCAUUAACUUGAAAAUAUGUUUCUACUAAUAUUUGGAGAAGUGUAUAUUGUAUGUGGCAUUGAACUUUUCUUUCUAUUUCUUUUUUCAAAAUUAUUACAAUUUACACACAUAUUUCAGUCUAAAUUAUUUAGUGAAAAUAAAUUAGAUAUCAAAUUAUGUCGUAACAAGAUAAAUCAGGGAGCAGGGCAGAAUCAAGUAUAAAACGUAGGAUGAGGAACAAGAUUAUAACGAAUAAAACUACCAGUAAAUGAUGACCACUUUAAUUUCCUCUGCACCUUCAUCUUCUCUGAUUCGUCAACCCCUUAAACGCCCAAAAUCCUCAAGACUCUCAAAAGCAAAGACACUAACUUCAACCAUUGAAGCAACUUCUUCUCAACCAAAACCCAACAACGCCAAUGCUAAAAAACCCACUUCAAGAAACCGCAGAAGAUCGUCGUAUGGCAGCUCGAGAAGGUCAGCUCGAGAAGGUCAGCUCGAUAAGAAAACAUUCGCUCAAGAGCAAGUCACGUUCACUGCACCUGUCUCCAGUGACCCCCGUGUGGGGAUUAUUGGUGGAGGCAUGGCCGGUCUCGCUUGUGCUUUGAGUUGGGAUAAGAGAGGUGUCAAGUCCACUGUUUUUGACACGGUUUGUCAUUCGUCUGGUUUCUUGGCUUUUUUUUUUUCUGUACUUUUGUGUUUCUGAUUGGAGAGCUUGAAGUGGGUGGCCAAUUCAAUUAUCUGUUUAAUAUGGUUAGGUUGUGUUUGUAUUUGAGAGUAUACACUCGUGUAAUGGUGAUUGAAAAAAUGUGCUGUUAACGGUCUAGCACGUGUUGUUAUGCAUCGAAUUUUGAUUAUAAGCAUGUUUUGGAGUUGAGGUAUUGUGACUUUUGACCCGCAUUUGUUGACGAAUGAAAUUAAAACAUUAGCUGCUAAAUAUAAGUGGGGGUUUAUCAAAUAUUUUAGUCAACCACAUUUAUAUAUUCUUAACACCGUGCUUUGCUAUAUCAGGGGAAUCAUGGCUUGGGAGGAAGAAUGGGAACCAGAAUGAUAGGUCCUCAACCACUGAUAUUUGAUCAUGCUGCUCAAUUCUUUAUUGUGAAUGAUUCUUGGUUUCGUGAGUUGGUUGAUGGUUGGUUGGAGAGGUGUCUGGUGCGACCAUGGAAGGUGUGAUUGGAGAGCUUGAAGUGGGUGGCCAAUUCACUCCAUUUCCUUCUUCACCUCCAAAAUACAUUGGUGUGAAUGGGAUGCGCCCUCUUGCAGACUCUUUAUUGGCCCAGGUGACAAAUCUUUAUUUUUCUUUUGUGUUCUUUUCUUGUUGAUUCUAUCAUGCUUCUUUGCAUUAAAAGGGGAAAAUUGUCUAAUUAAAUCACAAUGGUAAAAAACCGAAUUAUUGUUUUGAAGAAGGUAGUAUUGCUGCCUGGGUAUUCAAAGUCCCAAAAUCAUUAUACCGUUGAGGUUCGACCAGAGAACGAAGAUAAGAGUAUAUGAAACUAAAAGCUAUAAUUACAUGGUCACAUGAUUUUAACUGCUUAGGCUGCGUGACUAUACUUAAUGAAAUGUGCCGAUAAUGAUCAUAACUGACGAAAAGAAUAACCAGCAUGAACAUUUUGCACCGCUGUAUGAUGACUACAAUUCCUGUGAAGUAACAGGUUCCAUAUAUGGAUAAUGGAUUAUUAAUAGUGAGUUGGAGUUAGUUAUAUACAACAUCUUAAAUGGCAUACCUUUACUUUUAAAUCAUGUAAAUAAGUUCCUCUGUCCCUCAUGCCUUGGCUUAAUUCAUUUUGAUUCUUGUUGCAGACCUCUAUGUUUAGCAUAGUGAGACCUUGCUGGAUAAGUAAUCUUGAGCCAUUUAACGGGAUGUGGCACUUGAGCGAGAAUGUGAAACUACGUGGGCAGUUUGACGUGGUUGUUAUUGCUCAUAAGGGUGAUUCAGUGUUGCUAUCCUUUCUCGUUUUCUCUCUCUGUGGAUUGUUAUAGUCUUACCUUUGCAUUCCAAAAAUGCAGGUUAUUGUUUUUUGCAGUUGCAUGAAUGUGACAAUUGGCUUUGCUAUUGGAAAAAAAUAUAUCUAUAUUUCUGAUUUUACUCUCUAUCAUUACAGUGGAUUAGGAGUGGCAAAUAAUCUGGUUUAUUACAGGGAAGCCCUACCCAAAUCCGAACUCCUAUGGAAGGGGUCCCUCUCCCUAACCAUCCUGGAAUACCCCGGGGGGUUAGAAUGCAUUUAGUGUUACAUUAUAUGACUUUGUAGUUCGCUGAGUUCUUAUGUUUUCUGGGAUACUAGGACUUCAAAAAGCACUGAAAACUUCAUAGAAUUUCAUACUGAUUUUCACUGUCAAUUUGGAGAAAAUGAUGGCUAGAUUAGAAGUAAGAUUAAGAGCAACUUGUAAAUUUAAUCAACUGGAAGACUGGUAUUGAAUGGCUAUUAGUUAGGUUAGAAUAAGAUGAGCCAGACUUUCAAGCUGUGCCAUGCAUUCAAGGGCCGUUGAGUAUUACGUAGGUUGUUAUGGAAGAGUUAAAAAAUAUCUAUAUAAAUUUAACAACCAGAUUAGGUUUCUAGAUCCAGAAGUCGAGGUUAUGUUUAUUUGCUUACUCUUUCGACUGUUAAUUGCCUAUGUCUUUUCCUGUUUACAUUUUGGCUUAGCUUUGUAAUAAUAGUUCCUUCAUGUAAUGAUAGGAAAAUGUGCAAACCGGUUGCUUGGUUCAUCUGGCUUACCUCAAAUAGCUAGACAAAUGAAGGUAUAUGCAUUGAAAUAUUCAGUUCUUUUAAUAUUAUCUAGCCUAUGUUUUAUUCAGUAUUGGCCAAUUCUAAUUAUUUUGAAGAUUCAUAAUGCAUUUGCCUGGUUUGUAGAGGCUGGAACUAAGUUCUAUAUGGGCCCUUCUUGCUGCAUUUGAGGACCCCCUCCCACUGGGCAGUGCAUCAACAUUUGAAGGCGCCUUUGUGAAAGGUGUUGAUUCUGUCUCAUGGAUGGCAAAUAACUCAGCAAAACUUUUGAAUUCUCAGAGUGAUGCUCCUCACUGUUGGACCUUCUUCAGCACCGCAGCUUACGGAAAACGAAACAAGGUUCCACAGGUCAGUUUGUAUAUAAAUGUGGGUCCAACUGCAACAGCAGAGAAGGUGAAAAAAGGUAUGCUCGAGGGUGUUGAAGCUGCACUUGGCCGACCGAAAGGUUCACUUCAGAAGCCCAUUUAUACUCGAGUCCAUUUAUGGUAAGACUCCACUUUUAAGGACAUGACCUUGUAAUUUCAUUUUUUUAUCUUGUCCAAUUUGGAUCCUUGUAACCUACUUGACCUGUAAAUAUUUGCUGUUGGUGUUGGUUUAGAAUGAGUGGUUGAUUUGAACAAGCUUAAAAAGUUAUUGUGUGGACUUGUGUAUAGUCCUAGUUCUAUUUUCCUGUUACGCUCAUUUUUAAAAAAAGAUGGAACAUGUCAUUCCAAUUUAUUAAAUAAAUAAAACAACUUCAGAAUUUCAUGAUUAAGAAAAUAGUUCCUAUGUGAUGAAUUAGGUAUUUAUUUAUUUAUAUAUCUAUUUUAUUUAUUUAUUUUUUUGGGGGGGAAAUGUGUAGGGGUGCAGCUCUUCCAACUAAUACUCCAAGUAUUCCAUGUAUGGGGAUUGGCUGUUGGGUUCAAGUGUAGAGUCAGCUGCAUUGAGUGGCAUGGCUCUUGCCAAUCAUGUAAGCAAGAAUAUGAUUUUCAUUUGCUUAUUUGGUUUUAUUUUGUGCAUGUAACUAUAUAUUUCAUGGUUGAUAUAAAAAAAUAAAAUAAAUCUAAGACACUUCCGGUACAUGUGGGGAUUGGCUGUUGGGUUCAAGUGUAGAGUCAGCUGCAUUGAGUGGCAUGGCUCUUGCCAAUCAUGUAAGCAAGAAUAUGAUUUUCAUUAUUUGGUUUUAUUUUGUGCAUGUAACUAUAUAUUUCAUGGUUGAUAUAAAAAAAUAAAAUAAAUCUAAGACAACCAUUCUAUCCCUAUAUGGACAUCUAAAUAUAACUUCCGGUACAUGUGGGGAUUGGCUGUUGGGUUCAAGCGUAGAGUCAGCUGCAUUGAGUGGCAUGGCUCUUGCCAAUCAUGUAAGCAAGAAUAUGAUUUUCAUUUGCUUAUUUGGUUUUAUUUUGUGCAUGUAACUAUAUAUUUCAUGGUUGAUAUAAUAAAUAAAAUAAAUCUAGGACAACCAUUCUAUCCCUAUAUGGACAUCUAAAUAUAAUUUGUAGAUUGGCUUCAAUCAGAUUGAAAUAUCAGACAAGUUUCAACAACGUUAGCUUGAAGCUUGUUAUUCUUAUAUAAAUAACGUAAUUGGUCUGUGUAGAUUGCAGACUAUUUAGGAAGUGAUGGAGUUUGUCCUGAGGAAUUUGCUGUCGGUUUACACAAAGACUUUCAGUCGCUCGAAGGACAUGAUAUUGGACAAUUUCCAGGUUUGGAGUCCAUGGAAAAAGAGCAAGUUCAAGCAUAUCGGCUUACUUCUUGAAUCCCUAAGCAGGCCACGAAAAUUUCUAGAGUUUGUCAAGGUAUACUUCUAUUGAUACACUGUUUAUGGCUUUCUGUUUCACUUGGGCUACUGUCAUGUUAAUUCUCUUGGUUUUUAUAGCUAGGAUUAAGAAGUUUAUUCACAAAAUGCAGUUAUUGACAUAGUUGCUAAGCAAGCAUCCUGAAAUUCUUUUUGUGAUACCACAGAGAAGGUGAAAACAGGUAUGCUCGAGGGUGUUGAAGCUGCACUUAGCCGACCGAAAGGUUCACUUCAGAAGCCCAUUUAUUCUCGAGUCCGGUUAUGGUAAGACUGCACUUUUAAGGACAUGACCUUGCAAUUUCAUUUUUUUAUCAUGUCCAAUUUGGAUCCUUGUAACCUACUUGACCUAUAACUAUUUGCUGUUGGUGUUGGUUUAGAAUGAGUGGUUGAUUUGGACAAGCUUGACAAGUUAUUGUGUGGACUUGUGUAUAGUCCUAGUUCUAUUUUCCUGUUAUGCUCAUUUGAAAAAAACACGGAACAUGUCAUUCCAGUUUAUUAAAUAUAUAAAACAACUUGAGAAUUUCAUAAUUAAGAAAAUAGUUCCUCUGUGAUGAAUUAGGUAUUUGUUUAUUUAUAUAUCUAUUUUUUUUUUAUCUGCUGUACGGCCAAGGCGGAUGUACGGUACAGCAGGAAUAGGGGUGCAGCUCUUCCAACUAAUACUCCAAGUAUUCCAUGUAUCUUUGAUCCUCAUGGAAGGGCUGGUAUAUGCGGCAAUUGGCUGUUGGGUUCAAGUGUAGAGUCAGCUGCAUUGAGUGGCAUGGCUCUUGCCAAUCAUGUAAGCAAGAAUAUGAUUUUUCUUUUGCUUAUUUGGUUUUAUUUUGUGCAUGUAACUAUAUAUUUCAUGAUUGAUAUAAAUAAAAUAAAAUAAAUCUAAGACAACCAUUCUAUCCCUAUAGGGACAUCUAAAUAUAAAUUUGCAGGUUGGCUUCAAUCAGAUUGAAAUAUCAGACAAGUUUCAACAACAUUAGCUUGAAGCUUGGUUAUUCUUAUAUAAAUAACGUAAUCGGUCUAUGUAGAUUGCAGACUAUUUAGGAAGUGGUGGAGUUCGUCCUGAGGAAUUUGCUGUCGGUUUACACAACGAGUUUCAAUUGCUCGAAGGACAUGAUAUUGGACAAUUCCCGGGUUUGGAGUCCGUGAAAAAAGAGCAAGUUCAAGCAUAUCAGCUUACUUCUUGAAUCCCUAAGCAGGCCACAAAAAUUUCUGGAGUUUUUCAAGGUAUACUUCUAUUGAUACACUCUUUAUGGCUUUCUUUUUUUCACUUGGGUUACUGUCAUGUUAAUUCUCUUGGUUUUUAUGGCUAGGAUUAAGAAGUUUAUUCACAAAAUGCAGUUAUUGACAUAGUUGCUAAGCAAGCAUCCUGAAAUUCUUUUUGUGAUACCAUCCAUUACGAAACGUAAUGAUUACAGAUGCAAAGGAAAGUGGAUUCUUUAGGCAGCUAAAUCCUUACAGAAAACUUGUUUUCAGUAGCAUAGAUGACAGGAAUCGUGAUAUUUCCCCGGCUUUCAUGGAAGAAAAUUUUCUAAUAACUGAAACUCUUUUCAGUUGUCCACAAAUCAAAUUUGAAUAUGAAGCCAAAUAUCAGAUGCAGAUUUACGAGCAACAAAGUUCAAUGCUAUCAGUUGUUUUGGGUUCAAGUGAUCAGAGCUUCAUCCGGCACAAGCUCGCCUAACAGAGUAUGAAAAAUAUUGAAACCUACAGUUAACAAUUCUCAAGUUCCAUAUUUGACCUGUAAUCACAUUCAAGUUAAUACAUGACUACUGAUAUAUGAAAUGACAUUUUUAUUCAGUUCCAGGAAAGUCGCAUGCAGAGGAUUUAAGUUUCAUAUUAAUGGAAUGGUUUUGAGCUUUAUUAUUAGAUUUUAAAAAAAAAAUAAUUAAUGGAGUUAACAUACCGGCUUCUUCCAGAGCAACAAAGUUCAAUGCUAUCAGUUGUUUUCGGUUCAAGUGAUCAGAGCUUCAUCCGGCACAAGCACGCCUAACAGAG
rnacentral:lncRNA from 1 species